UACGGGAGGCAGCAGUGGGGAAUAUUGCACAAUGGGCGAAAGCCUGAUGCAGCUAUGCCGCGUGUAUGAAGAAGGCCUUAGGGUUGUAAAGUACUUUCAUCGGGGAGGAAAAAACAAAACUAAUAAUUUUAUUUCUUGACGUUACCCGAAAAAGAAGCACCGGCUAACUCCGUGCCAGCAGCCGCGGUAAUACGGAGGGUGCUAGCGUUAAUCAGAAUUACUGGGCGUAAAGAGCACGUAGGUGGUUUUUUUAAAAUCAGAUGUGAAAUCCCUGGGCUUAACCUAGGAACUGCAUUUUGAAACUGAAAUACUAGAGUAUCGUAGAGGGAGGUAGAAUUCUAGGUGUAGCGGUGAAAUGCGUAGAUAUCUGGAGGAAUACCUGUGGCGAAAGCGGCCUCCUAAACGAAUACUGACACUGAGGUGCGAAAAGCGUGGGGAGCGAAAACAGGGAUUUUAGAUACC
rnacentral:rRNA from 1 species